AUUUCGUCUAGACUUGUACAGUGACUUACAGCUUAAUUUGUCAGCCGUUAAAAAUUAACAUCGAUUUUUAUAAAUACACUUUUGAAAGUAACUCAGGCAUUCGUUAGCCAUACAAUUAAGGCUUUUACUUUGUACAAUGAACCAAAGAUGAAAAGAUCUGGAAAAUGAAUAUCCUAAGCAAUGCAUUAAAUGGGAUGUUGUACGAGUUAAACAACAAAUAUUGGGUAUCUCCUGGCACAUUAGAAUUCAACUUCAUGGUCGAUUACAGUGGCACUAUAAAUAGCUACCCUCAAGGUUCUUGUAUAAGUAGAAUUUCUCCUGGAUCAACACAGUCUACUUCAUCAACAUCAUCUACAACAACAACAUCUACAACAACAACAACAACAACAGCUGCUCCAAGCACAACAACAACUUCAGGUUCACCAACCUCGACCACAACAGGCACAACGACUAGUGGAACAACAACAGUCCCGUCUAACACAGCACACAACUACGGCUUAGUUCUAGAGAAGUCGAUCCUAUUCUACGAGGCCCAACAAUCGGGAGAUCUGCCACCUACCCACCGUAUUAACUGGCGGGGGGACUCGGCACUCGGCGAUUCUGGGAUAUAUGGAGAGGAUCUGACGGGCGGAUGGUACGAUGCUGGUGACACAGUAAAAUUUAAUCUCCCAAUGUCGGCUUCGGUCAUAAACUUGGCUGUAGGUUUGUACAAAUGGAAAGAUGCCUACAGUGCAUCGAACCAGCUUCAACAUAUGUACGACUCUAUCAAGUGGCCUCUAGACUAUUUCCUGAAAUGCUGGCGAAAUUCGGCACAAAUAUACUAUGCCCAGGUUGGAAACGGUGAUACAGAUCAUGCGAUUUGGACUCGUCCUGAAGACAUGACAAUCUCUCGACCGCCAUACUACCUCAAUAGCAGCAAGAGAGGAAGUGACGUAGCCGGAGGGACAGCCGCAGCAUUAGCAGCAGGUGCCUUGGCCUUCAUGGGCGAAGACUCAUCCUAUUCAACAAGUCUAUUAGAGAGUGCAGAAAGUCUUUAUGCAUUUGCUAAGGCACACCAAGGCACAUACAAUACCUAUAUUCCUGAAGGAGCAAAAUUCUACAGCUCGUCCGAGUAUAGAGACGAAAUGUGUGUCAGUGCCGCCCUUCUGUAUCUAGCUACCAACAAAACCAGAUAUCGAAGUGACGCCAUUACUUUCUACAACAGCUACAGCCCCGGUCGAUGGGCGUAUGACUGGGACGACAAGACGAUGCUCUGUGACGUUCUCCUGUAUGAAAUAACCCAAGAAACAAAGUACAAGUCGGCAGUAGAGAACUUCGUCACGUCCUACAUGCCCGGGGGUAGCGUCCAGUACACCCCCUGUGGCCUCGCCUGGAGACUCGAAUGGGGGUCCCUCAGAUACUCGGCCAAUGCGGCUUUUAUUGCUCUCCUGGCUGCUGAUGCAGGAAUAGGUAACACAGCAAACUACAAGCAAUGGGCAAUGUCGCAGAUUCACUACAUGUUAGGUGAUAACGCCAAUGACUUCAGCUAUGUGAUUGGGUAUGGAUCCAAUUAUCCUCUGAAGCCACAUCACCGCGCAAGUUCCUGUGACUAUCCGCCUGAGGUUUGUGACUGGAACGAUUACAACAGCCCUGACCCCAAUCCGCACGUGCUGCAGGGCGCCCUUGUGGGUGGACCGGACCAAUACGAUAACUACGAAGACGCCCGUGACAACUUCCGGACUAACGAGGUGGCGUGUGAUUACAACGCGGGGUUCCAGUCGGCCGUGGCAGGUCUUCUUCACUUCGCUGUGAAUGGCAACUUACCGGCUGCUCCAACACCUGCAUGCUAGAUGUACGACAUAUGAACAGCCGCAUGAACAUGCAUCAUGUAUUCACCAAUCAAAACUCAUUAACAAAGAUAUAAAUUUUUGCGUUUCGCUAUGGGAAAAUGAUGUUUAAAAAAAGGGAAAUAAAGAAAUAUAACUAUUAAAACUACAAAAAGCUACACAUGAUACUAGCAUAUUACAGUUCAAAAAAUAUAAACUGUUUGCUAUCUAGAAGACUCUUUCAUCUAUUAGAUUUUUAUACACUGUAACUGACUCUCUAUGUACGGGUAUCAAUGAUCUCCAUUUAUUUAUUUAUUUAUGAAAGAGAGAGAGAGAGAAAUGGAGACUAACCACAUUGUAUUAGCACAGGCUGCAGUGCACAAAAGAACCUGACUGUGUCUUUAAAAAACGUUUAACCUUUUUUCAAACUUGUUGAGAAAAAUGGAAUGUAUUUGUAUUAAAUCGUUUCCAAUUUCUAUUUUAGAAAUAAAAACACUCUAAUUGC
rnacentral:misc_RNA from 1 species